UAGGCGGGUGUCCCCUUCCUCCCUCACCGGUCCAUGUGCGUCCCUCCCGAAGCUGCGCGCUCGGUCGAAGAGGACGACCUUCCCCGAUAGAGACGUACCGUUCAUCGGUCAAGGGUAUACGGUAGCUGCGCUCCCCUGCUAGAACCUCCAAACAAGCUCAAGGUCCAUUUGUAGGAGAACGUAGGGUAGUCAAGCUUCCAAGACUGCAGACACAUCCAAGUGAGGCACUGCAUGGGGCAGUCUGCCAUUGUUU
rnacentral:snRNA from 1 species